rnacentral:rRNA from 1 species
UACGUAGGGUGCAAGCGUUGUCCGGAAUUAUUGGGCGUAAAGAGCUCGUAGGCGGUUUGUCGCGUCUGCUGUGAAAACCCGAGGCUCAACCUCGGGCCUGUAGUGGGUACGGGCAGACUAGAGUGCGGUAGGGGAGAUUGGAAUUCCUGGUGUAGCGGUGGAAUGCGCAGAUAUCAGGAGGAACACCAAUGGCGAAGGCAGAUCUCUGGGCCGUAACUGACGCUGAGGAGCGAAAGCGUGGGGAGCGAACAGG